rnacentral:lncRNA from 1 species
CGGGGAACAUGUGGAUGAGCAGGACGUUGUCCCUCCAAACAAGACUCUCUCUGUCCCGCGGUGUAGGUACUGGUGUGAACACCUGGGAAAUCUGUGGCUCCAGGAUUGAUGGUACUCUCCAGGCUCCAGUCAUGGUCCUUAGCACUUCCAGAGCUCAGGAAGGAGAAGUCGUCCUGGCUCAUUGUUUCCUUCGGAAGAUAAUACCUGCUACCCGGAUAGUCUUCUGCAAGGAUGGGAUGGAGCUGUACAACAUGAAAGCCCAAGAGGACGUGGUCAUCUACUCCAUGCUGCUGAACAUCUCUGCAAGAAGCAGUGGGACAUACACGUGUGCGUACCAGCAGAGGAACGAGAGCAAUUGGCUAAGGAGAUCUCCCCUUAGCACUCCCUUGGACCUACAUGUCACAGGUGGGACAUGACACCAGGGUUGUGUGGACGCAGGGGAUGGGG